CAUUGAUGUGAUGAUAACAUUGUCGGAAACACAAAAAUAUGUCGACUAAAAAUUAUCAGACUACAAUUAUCUGAUCAAUG